CAGGAGCCAUGGCUUGGGAGGGCCCCAGGUUAGGGGCACACUCUCAUCCAGGCUAACCCCACUCUCCGGGCCUGGCGAGGAUGGAGAAGAGGUGCAGGUCCACAGCCAGAGGCAGUAGCAGAGCUUUAUGUAGGUCCAGUGCUGGACUCAGCUGAGUUGGGUAAAUCAGACUUGCUGCCUGCCCUUAUGAAAACCAUGAUCUGCUACCAACCUGUGGGCCAGGAAGUCAUGCACCUGCCUCUGGAUCCCUCUGGUACCUGUGAAAUCUAGAUCCCCAGGCCUGCUCUCUGGAAAUAUAAAUCUGGUAAAGACUGAAAUUGAAAGGUCUCACAUAUCUUGGGCUUGGUGAUGAACUAUUCAAGUACCUCCGAAUGGCAGUGUCUCCACAAGGGAAACUAGAAGAUAAAGCCUUUCUCAGCAGUUAUCUCUGGGGCCAGCUUUACCCACCAAAGGACUCCAGGGCUGUUGGGUAAAUGGCUGCCAUAAAGGAUCACACUUCACCAUGUCGCUUGGAUUGAGGCUGCUGUGGAUAAAAAUUCCUGGAAAAAAAGCUGUGUGAAAAAAAGCAGACCGACAGACUUAAGCUUCAAGGACUGGGGAGAGUUCAGAAUAUUACAGGGUCAUUUCCUAAUGAAAACUCUUCUAGUGCUAUCUUUAGCCCCUAAAGAGACAUUCUUGUCCACCUCUCUUUUGUAUUUAUCAUCCAUACAAACAGAUAAAAACUCUUUGGAAUGUAUUAACAACACCCCCUUCUCAGCCUGCCAAGGUGCUAAGAAGAAUGCUGUCACAUAGAAUCUGAGGUUGGGUCUGGUGUUCCUCUACUUUUAAGACUCCUCUCUGAGGUUUCCACCAAUAUAUAUUAAACAUCCAUUCAUGCUCAAAAAAAAAAAAAAAAAAAAAAAAAAAAAAAA
rnacentral:lncRNA from 1 species